rnacentral:rRNA from 1 species
UACGCAGGUGGCGAGCGUUACCCGGAUUCACUGGGCGUAAAGGGGGCGUAGGUGGCCGUGUAAGUCCGGUGUGAAAACUCACGGCUCAACCGUGGGACUGCGCUGGAAACUACACGGCUUGAGGACGGUAGAGGGAGACGGAACUGCUGGUGUAGGGGUGAAAUCCGUAGAUAUCAGCAGGAACGCCGGUGGAGAAGUCGGUCUCCUGGGCCGUUCCUGACGCUGAGGCCCGAAAGCUAGGGGAGCAAACCGG